rnacentral:misc_RNA from 1 species
GAAAGAGGUGGAAGGCAAAAGCAAAAGAUGAUUUAUGACAACACUAGGAUGAUGGGUAGCAAGAUCUGUAGAUACCAAAUCAAAUAGGAAACCAGAAUCUAAUAUGGCCCCUAGGCCCUACUACUAACUGCUUCUUCAUCUCAUUGUUCUGAAUACCACUUGAGGCAAGUCAAUCUACCAAAGUACAUUUCUGAUACCACAAUAA